CUCAGGAUGAACGCUAGCGGCAGGCCUAAUACAUGCAAGUCGAACGGUGAUAGCAAUAUCAUAGUGGCGCACGGGUGCGUAACACGUAUGCAACCUACCUAUUAUUGGGGGAUAGCCUUUGGAAACGGAGAUUAAUACCGCAUAAUACGAUUGACUGGCAUCGGUUGAUUGUUAAAGCUUCGGCGAUAAUAGAUGGGCAUGCGUCCAAUUAGUUAGUUGGUUAGGUAACGGCUGACCAAGACGAUGAUUGGUAGGGGAUCUGAGAGGAUAAUCCCCCACACUGGCACUGAGAUACGGGCCAGACUCCUACGGGAGGCAGCAGUAGGGAAUAUUGGGCAAUGGGCGGAAGCCUGACCCAGCCAUGCCGCGUGCAGGAAGAAGGCGUUAUGCGUUGUAAACUGCUUUUUUAUAGGAAGAAGGAUCCCUUGCGAGGGAAGGUGACGGUACUAUAAGAGUAAGCACCGGCUAACUCCGUGCCAGCAGCCGCGGUAAUACGGAGGGUGCAAGCGUUGUCCGGAUUUAUUGGGUUUAAAGGGUGCGUAGGCGGUUUAUUAAGUCAGUGGUGAAAGACGGUCGCUCAACGAUUGCAGUGCCAUUGAUACUGGUAGACUUGAGUGAGAUUGAGGUAGCUGGAAUGGAUAGUGUAGCGGUGAAAUGCAUAGAUAUUAUCCAG
rnacentral:rRNA from 1 species